rnacentral:rRNA from 1 species
UGCAGUCGACGAUGAUGCCCAGCUUGCUGGGUGGAUUAGUGGCGAACGGGUGAGUAACACGUGAGUAACCUGCCCCUGACUCUGGGAUAAGCGUUGGAAACGACGUCUAAUACUGGAUAUGAUCACUGGCCGCAUGGUCUGGUGGUGGAAAGAUUUUUUGGUUGGGGAUGGACUCGCGGCCUAUCAGCUUGUUGGUGAGGUAAUGGCUCACCAAGGCGACGACGGGUAGCCGGCCUGAGAGGGUGACCGGCCACACUGGGACUGAGACACGGCCCAGACUCCUACGGGAGGCAGCAGUGGGGAAUAUUGCACAAUGGGCGAAAGCCUGAUGCAGCAACGCCGCGUGAGGGAUGACGGCCUUCGGGUUGUAAACCUCUUUUAGUAGGGAAGAAGCGAAAGUGACGGUACCUGCAGAAAAAGCACCGGCUAACUACGUGCCAGCAGCCGCGGUAAUACGUAGGGUGCAAGCGUUGUCCGGAAUUAUUGGGCGUAAAGAGCUCGUAGGCGGUUUGUCGCGUCUGCUGUGAAAUCCCGAGGCUCAACCUCGGGCUUGCAGUGGGUACGGGCAGACUAGAGUGCGGUAGGGGAGAUUGGAAUUCCUGGUGUAGCGGUGGAAUGCGCAGAUAUCAKGAGGAACACCGAUGGCGAAGGCAGAUCUCUGGGCCGUAACUGACGCUSAGGAGCGAAAGCAUGGGGAGCGAACAGGAUUAGAUACCCUGGUAGUCCAUGCCGUAAACGUUGGGCGCUAGAUGUAGGGACCUUUCCACGGUUUCUGUGUCGUAGCUAACGCAUUAAGCGCCCCGCCUGGGGGAGUACGGSCCGCAAGGCUAAGAC